rnacentral:tRNA from 1 species
GUUUUAAUAGUUUAAACAAAAUAUUGGUCUUGUAAACCAAAGAUAAAUUAAUUUUUUAAAACU